rnacentral:rRNA from 1 species
GAUGAACGCUGGCGGCGUGCCUAAUACAUGCAAGUCGAGCGAACAGAUGAGGAGCUUGCUCCUCUGACGUUAGCGGCGGACGGGUGAGUAACACGUGGAUAACCUACCUAUAAGACUGGGAUAACUUCGGGAAACCGGAGCUAAUACCGGAUAAUAUAUUGAACCGCAUGGUUCAAUAGUGAAAGACGGUUUUGCUGUCACUUAUAGAUGGAUCCGCGCCGCAUUAGCUAGUUGGUAAGGUAACGGCUUACCAAGGCAACGAUGCGUAGCCGACCUGAGAGGGUGAUCGGCCACACUGGAACUGAGACACGGUCCAGACUCCUACGGGAGGCAGCAGUAGGGAAUCUUCCGCAACGGGCGAAAGCCUGACGGAGCAACGCCGCGUGAGUGAUGAAGGUCUUCGGAUCGUAAAACUCUGUUAUUGGGGAAGAACAAAUGUGUAAGUAACUAUGCACGUCUUGACGGUACCUAAUCAGAAAGCCACGGCUAACUACGUG